UUGGUGAUCUUAAAAAAAAAGGAAGGAAUAAAAUUUUAUAUUUUAUUCCAGUUUGUUGGAUUUUCAAAAAUAAUUAUCUUAGUAUAUAAUUAAUUCUCGAUCCAGUGAGAUGUUGGGAAUUUGAUUAUUUGAGAUAUUAUGUGGAUAAUAUUUUGAGGUGCAACUAUUUGAAAUUUUAUGCAAUUUUCUGAGUUACUUCAAUUAUGUGAUUGAUUUAAUUGGGGUACAUGUUAAAUGAGCAUUAAUUGUUUAUUCUCUGUCCGAGUGAGUAAUUUAGAAAUUGAGUUUAUUUUUAUAAAUCAGAGAUGUUCUUUGAUUUAGAGAUAUCAGAAUUCUGUGUUUACUUAUAUUACAAAUUUUGUCUAAGCGGUUAAGUUAGAAUUUAGAUUUAUUAUAGUGUCUUCAUUAAAAUUGUUUUUAGUUUUUAAAAAUCAAAAUCUGUAUUUAAUUGUGCCAAUAUUUUAUUCAAGUAAAAACUACCAAAAUAUUUCAGUUUUGGUAUUUUAAUGUUUUGAAUGAUUUGAAAAUAUUCAAAAUUCUCGCGAAUGAUUAUUUUAAUUAUUUGCAAUUCAAAAAAAUUAAUUAUGGGCAAUUAAAUAUAAAAUUUUCAAAUGAUUAAAAAUAAAAUUUUUACGUAUUUUAUUCAUUCAGGAUAUUUCAAGAAUUGUAGUAUAUUUUGUUUUAUUCUUGGAAAAUAUUUUUAGACCCCUAAAAUUUGUUUAGUAGUUUCAUAGUAUUAAUAAUUGGGGUAUAAGCCUUAUCAGUAUAUAUAAAAUUCUUUUAUUAAACUAGAGUUAGCAGCUGCGUUAACCCCGUGUGUACAUCUCGUCUACUAAUAAUCAGAUAGUAUAACAGAUCAAAACAAAAGCUAUUAAAACAGACACAAGUCUUAUACACGCAGCCGCAGUUCGAAAGAAUUGGGGAACUAGGGUUUCGGAACAGGGGUUUCAAAAUCCAUGCUUGAAUCGCAGUCGGCUGACUCGUUUAUCAAGGACGUUCAAGAACAGUUGAUUUGUGUUGUCGGAUUGUGUUGAGCCAGAAGCUAGAUGCAAAGGCAAUCUAGAGUUUUCGAGUAACCUGACUAUGAUGUCACUAGUUUUGACAUCAGAGGCAAAGAUUAAGAUGAUUCGAUUGUUGAGCUGUGCGUAAGAUUGAUGAUAGGCGAGAUUGCCAGGGAGAUGUCUGCAAGAAUAUUUCUGGUUAGAAUUGAAUUAUUUCAGUUUAGUUGUAUAAUAGAUUUAUUUAUUUGGUUAUCAGUUACUCUUCUUAUCGAGGUUUAACUGAUAAUGUAGUUUAAGUUGUAAUAAGAUUGUAAGUUUUGAUUUCUGAUUUCAGUGUUGUAACCUAUUAGCGAUCCUGUUUUUAGGGGGUCAAAGUGAUUUUGAUUUAAAUAUCUUUUAAAAUUUCCAGAUUUUUAAUUAUCUGUUUUACCUUCUUCCGCAAAAUACAGGUUUUUAAAUGAUUUUAUUUUAGUGGCACCAAAUCCAGACCCCCGGAUUUUGGGGAUGUCACAGUUGGUAUCAGAGCUAUAGGUUAUAAGUUAUUGAAAUCAGAAUGUAGGUUGUGUUAGGAUUGUGGUUAGUGGAACCUCAUAUAGAGGUAAGUCAAGACAAUUUGGUAUAGUCUUUGUUGAUAGAAUUGAGGUCGAUAUUGGAGUAUUGAUUCCAAGUAAUCAUUUGGGAUAUCCUAGUUUCUAGUUUUAGAACUAGUGAGUUUGGAUUUCAGGGAAACAUGAUGGAACUUUUAGUUUCCAAUCUUUUUGAACUUGAGAUUGACUUCUGAGUAACCAGUGCCAACUAGACUCGUGGAGAAACCUGUCUAGUCUAGAAUGUUUGUUUUCAUCCCUACCACUUCUUGAGUAUUGGUAGAGGGUCAUAUAUUAAUUUUCUAGAGAUAUAUAUAUAUAGAAUGAGUAUGAGAUUUGUUGGGUUAGAGAUUCUUUGAUAAGAUAGUUAUAUGAAAUUCGUGUUUAGCUAUUUGUUAUAGUGCUAUGAGUAGGCUAGAACGCCAACGCUCUACAAUGCUUAUUGUAUAAAGUUGAAGAUGGCUUCUGACCGUGCCAAGCUGGAUAAGACUUUUUACUGAAGUGGAUUGCGGUGAUUGAAUCUUUAGAGUUGAAUACGAGCGGCCAGAAUAUUAGAACAUCGAGAAGAAUCGCUAGAAUCGGAACGAGCCAUCAGAAGAAUCAAUCGAGAAGACAUCUGUGAUAAUGUUGGUAAUGCCUUCCUCAUUGUUGAUUAUAUUGAUUAUUUUCCAAUCAAUAAUCUAUUUUAACAUCUCUUUUAUAAAGAUGUUUGUUAAAAAGCGUAUGCUCUCUCUUGAGGUGUAUUGCUAUACUUGCGUUUACUCGUAUUUGGAUUGAAUUGUGAUAGAGGCUAAUAUGAUACUUAUUUUAGGUUGUGGAAGCCCUGUCAAGUUUGUGAAAAUUCAUUUCUAUUUUUUUUUCUUUCUUCUAAAAGUGGUGAAUGAUUCUUAUUUCAAGUUAUCACCAUUUACUCGUUAUGUAAAAUUAUUUUUCGGUUAUUAUUUUCCUCCGAAAAUCAGCAUCUUUGGAAUCUAUUCAAUUUUGAACCCAAGGUGCGUAUAAAGAUUUAUUCAUUUAAAAGACAGUCAUUGUUAAUUGAUUGAAUUUUUUUUUUUUCCAGAUUUUCUUACUCUAACUGAGAUGAACAACCCUAUUUAUAGGGGACACAAGGACUAUCUGUCUGUGUGAUAGAAGUUUGAUGGGACGCCAUCACUUGUGUGUUGUGCAUUACAAGAAGGUUAAUUACCUUUAGUAGUAUCAUCAAUUGGAUACGCAACAUAGUUCUCUAGAUCAUAUUGAUCUCUCAGCAAUUCUCUAUUUCAUAUCAGUUUGCUUUCGAAACUCAUACCUAUGACAAUUGCUUUGAUAUCUUAAAUCUGAUAUACUUUAAGAUUAAAUGACUCUUAUUUGUCAAUCAAUUCAAAGGGUAUGCCAAUCAGGUUUAAAAGAGUUAGUCCUGCCAAUGCAUUAUAAGAUUUCGUAUAUGACCACAACUAUAAAAGAAGAUUACGAUGCGACUUGCAAACAAUAGCCUGCUCUGAUUCUCUCUUCGCUGAUUCCGAGGACGGAAUCCUUAUAAGGGGGGAAGUCUGUAAUGACUCGGGUUUUUAUUAAUUAUUUAUUAUUUUGUUGGUGAUCUUAAAAAAAAAGGAAGGAAUAAAAUUUUAUAUUUUAUUCCAGUUUGUUGGAUUUUCAAAAAUAAUUAUCUUAGUAUAUAAUUAAUUCUCGAUCCAGUGAGAUGUUGGGAAUUUGAUUAUUUGAGAUAUUAUGUGGAUAAUAUUUUGAGGUGCAACUAUUUGAAAUUUUAUGCAAUUUUCUGAGUUACUUCAAUUAUGUGAUUGAUUUAAUUGGGGUACAUGUUAAAUGAGCAUUAAUUGUUUAUUCUCUGUCCGAGUGAGUAAUUUAGAAAUUGAGUUUAUUUUUAUAAAUCAGAGAUGUUCUUUGAUUUAGAGAUAUCAGAAUUCUGUGUUUACUUAUAUUACAAAUUUUGUCUAAGCGGUUAAGUUAGAAUUUAGAUUUAUUAUAGUGUCUUCAUUAAAAUUGUUUUUAGUUUUUAAAAAUCAAAAUCUGUAUUUAAUUGUGCCAAUAUUUUAUUCAAGUAAAAACUACCAAAAUAUUUCAGUUUUGGUAUUUUAAUGUUUUGAAUGAUUUGAAAAUAUUCAAAAUUCUCGCGAAUGAUUAUUUUAAUUAUUUGCAAUUCAAAAAAAUUAAUUAUGGGCAAUUAAAUAUAAAAUUUUCAAAUGAUUAAAAAUAAAAUUUUUACGUAUUUUAUUCAUUCAGGAUAUUUCAAGAAUUGUAGUAUAUUUUGUUUUAUUCUUGGAAAAUAUUUUUAGACCCCUAAAAUUUGUUUAGUAGUUUCAUAGUAUUAAUAAUUGGGGUAUAAGCCUUAUCAGUAUAUAUAAAAUUCUUUUAUUAAACUAGAGUUAGCAGCUGCGUUAACCCCGUGUGUACAUCUCGUCUACUAAUAAUCAGAUAGUAUAACAGAUCAAAACAAAAGCUAUUAAAACAGACACAAGUCUUAUACACGCAGCCGCAGUUCGAAAGAAUUGGGGAACUAGGGUUUCGGAACAGGGGUUUCAAAAUCCAUGCUUGAAUCGCAGUCGGCUGACUCGUUUAUCAAGGACGUUCAAGAACAGUUGAUUUGUGUUGUCGGAUUGUGUUGAGCCAGAAGCUAGAUGCAAAGGCAAUCUAGAGUUUUCGAGUAACCUGACUAUGAUGUCACUAGUUUUGACAUCAGAGGCAAAGAUUAAGAUGAUUCGAUUGUUGAGCUGUGCGUAAGAUUGAUGAUAGGCGAGAUUGCCAGGGAGAUGUCUGCAAGAAUAUUUCUGGUUAGAAUUGAAUUAUUUCAGUUUAGUUGUAUAAUAGAUUUAUUUAUUUGGUUAUCAGUUACUCUUCUUAUCGAGGUUUAACUGAUAAUGUAGUUUAAGUUGUAAUAAGAUUGUAAGUUUUGAUUUCUGAUUUCAGUGUUGUAACCUAUUAGCGAUCCUGUUUUUAGGGGGUCAAAGUGAUUUUGAUUUAAAUAUCUUUUAAAAUUUCCAGAUUUUUAA